rnacentral:rRNA from 1 species
CCUACGGGGGGCAGCAGUGGGGAAUAUUGGACAAUGGGGGGAACCCUGAUCCAGCCAUGCCGCGUGUGUGAAGAAGGCCCUCGGGUUGUAAAGCACUUUCAGUGAGGAAGAACGCCUGGUGGUUAAUACCCAUCAGGAAAGACAUCACUCACAGAAGAAGCACCGGCUAACUCCGUGCCAGCAGCCGCGGUAAUACGGAGGGUGCGAGCGUUAAUCGGAAUUACUGGGCGUAAAGCGCGCGUAGGUGGCUUGAUAAGCCGGUUGUGAAAGCCCCGGGCUCAACCUGGGAACGGCAUCCGGAACUGUCAAGCUAGAGUGCAGGAGAGGAAGGUAGAAUUCCCGGUGUAGCGGUGAAAUGCGUAGAGAUCGGGAGGAAUACCAGUGGCGAAGGCGGCCUUCUGGGCUGACACUGACACCGAGGUGCGAAAGCGUGGGUAGCAAACAGGAUUAGAUACCCUAGUAGUG